UGGCCAUCACAAUCCAAUCCAAUCGUUGCCGCUCAAACUGGUUCAAGAGUUCAAACGGCCCGCCCGACUGGAUAGCUGAGGGGGGACAAGCACCACCCGGGCCAUGGACGCGGCCAGCAGCAGCAGCCUGUGGGAGACGGCGCUGGUCAUCCUCGAGGAGGUGUACCACACCGUGUGGGCCUGCCUCUGCCUCCAGGAGCUUGCGGAGGACACCUACUACGCCUCUCGGCCCAAGAGGACCACGGCGCACCUGGUCCUCUGCUUCGGGCUCCUAGCCUUCCAUGUCGCUUUCCUCGGUCGUGGCAGCGGGUCCCGCCUGCUGAGCACCAAGCUGGUCUACCUGCUGGACAUGCUGUUUCACGUGUUCCGCGUCCUCUGGGAUGCGUUGAUCUUCUUGUCCGUAUACCGCUGUCCAAAGGGGACCUGCAGGAGUCACCUGUUCGUGGCGUCUGCGAGCGUCACGUAUCACGUGAUCACACUGGUGGUCUACUACCAAUGGUGCGAAGUGAGGCCGGCCCAGAAGCCUCCUUGUAUGGUGGGGACCUGUUACGACUGGCUUCGGCAGUACGUCCACAGGCUCAGGGAAAGCGGACGACACGCAGCCGACGGCGAGCCCUCGGCUGUCCAGCUGCAGAGAACGCUCGGGGACAGCGAGGAGUGCUCGGCGAGCUUCGAGUUCUCCCACCGCCGCAUGGCAGAUGGCGCCACGGAACUUCUACUCUCAAGCCAAAGUAGCUGCUCUCAGGAGAUUGCCAAAGCGACGUAGGCAACGAGACAGCGCUUCGCAUAAAAAGUGUUUUUUUUU